UUCUUUCAUUUUGUUUGGUUUUCUUUUUAAGUUUAAUAUUUUUUGGCGUGGCCAUGCCUCUGAGUCUUGCUUUCCUGAGUUUUAGUUUGGAAUUUUUACUUUUUAUACUCAGAUGUUUUCAUUUGCUUUCUGGGUUUGAAUUGCAGUUUUUUGUUUUGGUAUUUUGUGUAUUUCUUUUCUGUGGAGGGUCAUUUUUAAUGGCCAUGGAGGUAGGCAGCAGCAAGAAUUCUACGUUCUGGAGUGGCUGAUUGGACAGAAAAUGGUAGGCAGCAGCAAGAAUUCUUCUUUAUGGAGUGGCUUAUUGGAGUUAUGGACAGAAAAUGCUAAGACAUUUGGAAUUUUCAACAAUUUGCUGGGAUUUUUGGGAGGUAGAUCCUCCCCUGAAUAAAUGUAGCGUCACCAUACGUGGAACACAUCUUCUUCAGUAGAUGAUCCAGAAAGAUGGUCCAAAGGUAUUCGUACUUUAAACACUGGAAUUUUCAAACAGUAUCUUUCUGGACCAUCUUUCUGGAUGAAAGAUGGACCAAAGGUAUUCGUACUUUAAACACUGGAAUUUCCAAAUAGUAUCUUUGGAUUUAUAGACAACCCUGCAUUAUGGACAUUUCAAGUUUCAACUAGCCGAAGCCCUUCCAUACAUUUUAAUAGGAUUCAAAUGUUUUUACUUUUUUAUCUAAGAUCAAUUUGAACUUUUAGCAGAGGCA